rnacentral:sRNA from 1 species
UCCGGGUUGAGGGCUAGUCGCGGACUC